rnacentral:rRNA from 1 species
GAUGAACGCUGGCGGCGUGCCUAAUACAUGCAAGUCGAGCGCAGGAAACCGUCUGAACCCUUCGGGGGGACGACGGCGGAAUGAGCGGCGGACGGGUGAGUAACACGUAAAGAACCUGCCCACGGGUCUGGGAUAACCACGAGAAAUCGGGGCUAAUACCGGACGGGUCAUCGGACCGCAUGGUCCGAGGAUGAAAGGCGCUCCGGCGUCGCCCGUGGAUGGCUUUGCGGUGCAUUAGCUAGUUGGUGGGGUAACGGCCCACCAAGGCGACGAUGCAUAGCCGACCUGAGAGGGUGAUCGGCCACACUGGGACUGAGACACGGCCCAGACUCCUACGGGAGGCAGCAGUAGGGAAUCUUCCACAAUGGACGAAAGUCUGAUGGAGCAACGCCGCGUGAACGAUGAAGGCCCUCGGGUCGUAAAGUUCUGUUGUAAGGGAAGAACAAGUGCCGCAGGCAAUGGCGGCACCUUGACGGUACCUUGCGAGAAAGCCACGGCUAACUACGUGCCAGCCGCCGCGGUAA